UACGGAGGGUGCAAGCGUUGUUCGGAAUGACUGGGCGUAAAGCGCACGUAGGCGGGUUCGCAAGUAGGAUGUGAAAGCCCUAGGCUUAACCUGGGAAUGGCACCCUAAACUACGAACCUUGAAUGCUUGAGAGGUUGGCGGAAUUCCUGGUGUAGGAGUGAAAUCCGUAGAUAUCAGGAGGAAUAUCGGAGGCGAAGGCGGCCAACUGGUGGUGCAUUGACGCUGAGGUGCGAAAGCGUGGGGAGCAAACAGG
rnacentral:rRNA from 1 species